AACGAACGCUGGCGGCAUGCCUAACACAUGCAAGUCGAACGAGACCUUCGGGUCUAGUGGCGCACGGGUGCGUAACGCGUGGGAACCUGCCUUUAGGUUCGGAAUAACUCAGAGAAAUUUGAGCUAAUACCGGAUGAUGUCUUCGGACCAAAGAUUUAUCGCCUUUAGAUGGGCCCGCGUUGGAUUAGCUAGUUGGUGGGGUAAAGGCUUAACAAGGCGACGAUCCAUAGCUGGUCUGAGAGGAUGAUCAGCCACACUGGGACUGAGACACGGCCCAGACUCCUACGGGAGGCAGGAGUGGGGAAUAUUGGACAAUGGGCGAAAGCCUGAUCCAGCAAUGCCGCGUGAGUGAUGAAGGCCUUAGGGUUGUAAAGCUCUUUUACCCGAGAUGAUAAUGACAGUAUCGGGAGAAUAAGCACCGGCUAAAUCCGUG
rnacentral:rRNA from 1 species